rnacentral:lncRNA from 10 species
CGGCAGCACAGAAACCUGUCAGACGGCAUCCUGUCUCCUAGUUAUUAAAAACUCUGCUUUGCCCAGGCGAGUUCUCAAAUCCCUAUGCAGUCUGGAUCUUUGGCAUGCGGGAGGCAAAGUGCCGAGAUCCAUAUACCACCAUACGGGCUGCUACUCAUGAGCCUUUGCUCUAAAAGCUGAAAAUCUCCUGGCAGUCAUGCAAGCAAGAUGGUCAACGUCAGAUACACAAGGCUGGCUUGAGCAGUGUUCACUGGGGAAAAUUCAUGGACAGGGGAGCAGAAACAGGUAAAAGUAGAAAAGAAAGCUUUCUAAUUUCCAUGCACAAUGAAGGAAGACAUAACAGAGACGAGAGCGAAAAAUGCAAGACUGAAGUCACAGCACUCACAGAAGGCAAAUCAGUCAGCUCUCGUUAACACACACAAAGUCUGGCAUUUGUGUAUUAGUGAUAAUCAUGGAUUACUGCUGUAUUCUAUUAGCCUUUUAGGGAUUUGCCUUUGCUAAAUCUAAAACAACAACAAGCAAAUGCAAGUGCAGAAAAGGGAAUUCUUAUUAAUGGAGCCUGUUUGAUAACUCUUUUCAUACCAGUUUAGAAGGCCUCUUUAGUUUGUUUUUUCAGCAGCAGCUGGAAGCAAUACUUUUUUCGAAUUAUCAAAAGAUUUAAUGGUGUAAUGUGAUCCAAGAGCAGAACUAGUUAUAAUGAGAGAAAAGCAACAAACAGUAUAAAC